AAAAUGUAAUUGGUAGAGCAGCUACAGCGGGGUCAGAGAUUGAUCCAAGCAAGGAUCCGAAAAGAAAGGCUAAGUCUAAUGAUCCUGGGUGGAAGUAUGGAUACUGGCCUAAUUUAGAAGACAAGAAUUGUGUUAUAUGUAUCCUUUGUGAGGUGGAUACCAAGGGAGGAAUAAAAAGAUUGAAAAAACACUUGAUUGGUGGCUAUGGAGAUGUAGCCAAGUGCACAAAAACAACUACAACAAUUGCUAAAGAGAUGAAAGAAGCAAUCAUGAAAAACAAGAAGAGGAUGGAAAAUUUGGAUGAUUUGGGUGUUGAUGGUGAAGAUUU